AACGCGAAGAACCUUACCAAGAUUUGACAUGCAUGUAGUAGUGAACUGAAAGGGGAACGACCUGUUAAGUCAGGAACUUGCACAGGUGCUGCAUGGCUGUCGUCAGCUCGUGCCGUGAGGUGUUUGGUUAAGUCCUGCAACGAGCGCAACCCUUGUUGCUAGUUAAAUUUUCUAGCGAGACUGCCCCGCGAAACGGGGAGGAAGGUGGGGAUGACGUCAAGUCAGCAUGGCCUUUAUAUCUUGGGCUACACACACGCUACAAUGGACAGAACAAUAGGUUGCAACAGUGCGAACUGGAGCUAAUCCCCAAAGCUGUCCUCAGUUCGGAUUGCAGGCUGAAACCCGCCUGCAUGAAGUUGGAGUUGCUAGUAACCGCAUAUCAGCAUGGUGCGGUGAAUACGUUCCCGGGCCUUGUACACACCG
rnacentral:rRNA from 2 species